rnacentral:rRNA from 1 species
UUGACCUCAAAUCAGGUAGGACUACCCGCUGAACUUAAGCAUAUCAAUAAGCGGAGGAAAAGAAACUAACAAGGAUUCCCCUAGUAACUGCGAGUGAAGCGGGAAAAGCUCAAAUUUGAAAUCUGGCGGUUCUUUGACCUGUCCGAGUUGUAAUCUAGAGAAGUGCUACCUGUGCUGGACCAUGUACAAGUCUCCUGGAAUGGAGCAUCACAGAGGGUGAGAAUCCCGUCUUUGACAUGGACUGCCUGUAUGAUAUGGUGCGCUCUCGAAGAGUCGAGUUGUUUGGGAAUGCAGCUCAAAAUGGGUGGUAAAUGCCAUCUAAAGCUAAAUAUUGGCGAGAGACCGAUAGCGAACAAGUACCGUGAGGGAAAGAUGAAAAGAACUUUGGAAAGAGAGUUAAACAGUACGUGAAAUUGCUGAAAGGGAAACGCUUGAAGUCAGUCACGUUGGCUAGAAAUCAGCCUUGCUUUUGCUUGGUGUACUUUCUGGUUGAUGGGUCAGCAUCAAUUUUGACCAUUGGAUAAAGUCACUGGGAAUGUGGCAUCUUAGGAUGUGUUAUAGCCCUUUGUCGCAUACAGUGGUUGGGAUUGAGGAACUCAGCACGCCGCAAGGGCCGGGUCUUUUGAUCACGUUCGUGCUUAGGAUGCUGGCAUAAUGGCUUUAAUCGACCCGUC